AACGAACGCUGGCGGCGCGCCUAAUACAUGCAAGUCGAGCGAGAAGGUGUAGCAAUACACUUGUAAAGCGGCGAACGGGUGAGGAAUACAUGGGUAACCUACCCUCGAGUGGGGAAUAACUAGCCGAAAGGUUAGCUAAUACCGCGUACGCUUCCGGGACUGCGGUUCCGGAAGGAAAGCGAUACUGUGAGUAUCGCGCUCUUGGAUGGGCUCAUGUCCUAUCAGCUUGUUGGGAGGUAACGGCUCACCAAGGCUUCGACGGGUAGCUGGUCUGAGAGGACGAUCAGCCACACUGGCACUGCGACACGGGCCAGACUCCUACGGGAGGCAGCAGUAAGGAAUAUUGCGCAAUGGACGACAGUCUGACGCAGCGACGCCGCGUGGGGGAUGAAGGUCUUCGGAUUGUAAA
rnacentral:rRNA from 1 species